CCAGUUCACUUCACUGGUCUCUAAGAAAGCCCUCGCUCUUCAAGUCUCUGCAACAAGUUCCACUAUUUUGGGGGAACCUCGGUGUCCACAUAGACAUCCCACUGGCACUAAAACCUGGCAAAUCCUGUCAGCCUUGUUUUCAGGUGCUGUCGCCUGGAAAGGCGUCCAGUUCUGUUCUCAUCUUUCCAGUUUUUGCCUGCCUGCCAUCUGGAUGGCCCCAAGGUAAUGGUGUGGCCCUCCAGAGUGCUGCCCGACAGUCUGCUGCUCAGAACCACUGCCAUGGGAGCCCCCUCCACACCUGGGCCUGCUCCCUACUGCCACCACUCUGGCCAAGGAAGAUACCUUUGCAUGAGACCCCUUGCCCCAGAAAGAGGUGCAGCUCCUGCAGUCGCUGAAGCAGGGAAGCAGAUCAUCAGGGAUAGGGGCCCUGGGGGACAAGUCCCCUUCUUACCAGGCUAGAUUGGGUUGACUUUUCUCCCCUUCACUACUCCAGCCCGGCAGGGCAGGUGGUGGUACAGGAGGACCCCUUCUUACCCCACCCCCAAACCCCUCACCGGCAAGUGCAGGAAGGUGAAAUCCAGCAGCUGCACCAGCUGGUUACCAGCCAGGUAGAGUACGCGCAGCUGGGCCAGGCCAGUGAAAGCGCCAACCCGCAAGCCGCGCAGCCGGUUGCUUGUGAGCGCCAGCUCCAGCAGGCGCGGCUGU